GACGAACGCUGGCGGCGUGCUUAACACAUGCAAGUCGAACGGAAAGGCCCUGCUUUUGUGGGGUGCUCGAGUGGCGAACGGGUGAGUAACACGUGAGUAACCUGCCCUUGACUUUGGGAUAACUUCAGGAAACUGGGGCUAAUACCGGAUAGGAGCUCCUGCUGCAUGGUGGGGGUUGGAAAGUUUCGGCGGUUGGGGAUGGACUCGCGGCUUAUCAGCUUGUUGGUGGGGUAGUGGCUUACCAAGGCUUUGACGGGUAGCCGGCCUGAGAGGGUGACCGGCCACAUUGGUACUGAUAUACGGCCCAGACUCCUACGGGAGGCAGCAGUGGGGAAUAUUGCACAAUGGGCGGAAGCCUGAUGCAGCAACGCCGCGUGCGGGAUGACGGCCUUCGGGUUGUAAACCGCUUUCGCCUGUGACGAAGCGUGAGUGACGGUAAUGGGUAAAGAAGCACCGGCUAACUACGUG
rnacentral:rRNA from 1 species